rnacentral:misc_RNA from 1 species
AAGGAUCAUUAUUGAAAUAAACCUGAUGGGUUGUUGCUGGCUCUCCAGGGAGCAUGUGCACACCUUGUCAUCUUUAUGUCUCCACCUGUGCACCUCUUGUAGACCUCUCCAGGUCUAUGUCGCUCCAUUUACCCCUGAUGUAUGUUGAUAGAAUGGUUGGCUUAUAAAAUAUAUACAACUUUCAGCAACGGAUCUCUUGGCUCUC